AGUGAACGCUGGCGGUAGGCCUAACACAUGCAAGUCGAACGGCAGCACAGUAAGAGCUUGCUCUUACGGGUGGCGAGUGGCGGACGGGUGAGGAAUACAUCGGAAUCUACUUUUUCGUGGGGGAUAACGUAGGGAAACUUACGCUAAUACCGCAUACGACCUACGGGUGAAAGCAGGGGAUCUUCGGACCUUGCGCGAUUGAAUGAGCCGAUGUCGGAUUAGCUAGUUGGCGGGGUAAAGGCCCACCAAGGCGACGAUCCGUAGCUGGUCUGAGAGGAUGAUCAGCCACACUGGAACUGAGACACGGUCCAGACUCCUACGGGAGGCAGCAGUGGGGAAUAUUGGACAAUGGGCGCAAGCCUGAUCCAGCAAUACCGCGUGGGUGAAGAAGGCUUUCGGGUUGUAAAGCCCUGUUGUUGGGAAAGAAAAGCAGCAGGUUAAUACCCCGCUGUUCUGACGGUACCCAAAGAAUAAGCACCGGCUAACUUCGUG
rnacentral:rRNA from 1 species